rnacentral:lncRNA from 1 species
CAUGCCCAGCCCCCUGGGGGUGAGGGGCGGGACUUAUGGCCCAGGUCUCUUUUUAUGCUGUUGGCAACAAUCCCCAGGUGGGUCUUCCAUGCCUGGAGCCACACUGAUACCAUUCAGCUGGGUGUUCCAAAUUGACCAUCAGUCCACCACAGUGUCUCUACCUCUAAACACAUCUGUCUCACAGAGCUGUAAAGGUUGAACAAGGAAGUCUACCAGGAUCAAGCAGUAGGUGAAAAAUGCUGCUGGAUCACAUAAGAUGCCAAAAGAACCACGGCUAAUGGAAGCUUUCUCAAAGACCCCCCAGGACAGUGGCCUGCUCAUGUCUUCUCAUCUUGGGUGGCAUAGACUGCCUGCAGCUGAGGACCCACUGCCACAUCCUCUGCAACAGUGCCUUGUUGGCCAGUGUGUUGAUGACUGACUGAUAGGUAUGAGUAUUAAAUGCUUUUGCCUCCUUCCUAAUGGAACAUCAGAGACCUUUCCACCAGCCUCUCCCAUUGCCAGUUAGGUGGGUCUGAUUCACUCUGUUGUAAUUCAGCACAUUCUCUGCAGCCACCAUGGGAACUCUGGAGGCUCAGAAGUGGUGCUGGUCUUACUACCCUCAAACCAGGGUAAUGAGGUUCUCGUGUAAUCACAGGCCCAGGCAGAGGACUUACCACAGACCACAUAGCUGGAAGGCAGAACCGCCAGCAGUGUGGCCGCCCAGGCAUGGUUAAGCACCCUGAUCUGAAAUCCCAUAAU